CCUCACCAGACUUUGACCACUGGAGCCUGCUUCCCUCCCCUUUCUGCCAAAACAAAACAAAACUCUGGGUUCCUGUGGCUGGUUUAUGUCUGGAGGGCUUCUGCUGUUUUUAACGGGCACACUUAUUCCUGGCGCCUUCCUCUGCACCUUCGCAGUUCUGCUGGCAGGAGCCCUCUUGUUUGUUCUCCUGACCCUCGGUUGGGUUUUUCCUGAGGCUGGGGCUGACUUCCCCCUUCCCGGUGUCUGUAUGGGUCUCAGCAGCAGCAUUAACCUCCAGAAUAACCAUGGUGACUUCUCCUUUGGGCCAGGAACUGUGAACUACCCAUUACUGCCUGACCAGAACGAAUGA
rnacentral:lncRNA from 1 species